rnacentral:misc_RNA from 1 species
GCUGUUUCUUAAGGUAGGGGCGAUUGGGGCCAAAUAAGUUCCUUUUGCUUUUUUUUCUUUAUUUUAAAAUCAUGUUCCACUGAUCGUAUCACAGUUGGAACAAGUUCGUGAUUUUGGUUGUCCUAACAUUUUAACAUUUUAGAAAAUUGAGUGUGCGUGUGUGUGAGCUCUUUUUGUUCUGGGUAGAACAAAGGAGGAUAGAAAAUUUUCAUCCCAUUUUAAGAGUGUUCUUCUUUUUAUUUAUUCAGUGCGGUGAAUUUGCCGAAGGUUUGUGAAGGUGCUUAUUGACGGCGUAGGACGUUCACGUUCUGUCUGCUGAACUUCCGGGUGAAAUCCUCGGUGCUUUUCAACAAGGUCGGAGUUCUGGUAUAGGAGAGCCGGAAUUCUGGUGAAGUGCGUCGGCUUUUUCUGCUGUCAGAACGACGGUGCUUCAGCCCAGGAGCAAAGGUUUGGUAACCUUGGUGUGGUUCUAAAUAGAACAAGAUGAGCAUUGCUUCCACAAUUGAGCAGUACCGGAAGGGUUCGUCCUUCGGUGACUGGGCUGAAAGAUUAGAGUACAAUUUUAAAGCCAACAAGUAUACCGACGACUUGAUGAAAACUCACUUUAUGAAUUUAUGUGGUUCAUACUUAUACUCUGAACUGAAAACUAUUUACAAAAAAUCUGAUCUCGAUAAAGCAACCUAUACAGAAUUAGUUGAAAAAC